UACGGAGGGUGGGAGCGUUGUUCGGAAUCACUGGGCGUAAAGCGCGUGUAGGCGGUCUGGCAAGUCUGGUGUGAAAGCCCGGGGCUCACCCCCGGAAGUGCACUGGAAACUGACAGACUCGAGUCCCGGAGAGGAGAGUAGAAUUCCUGGUGUAGCGGUGAAAUGCGUAGAUAUCAGGAGGAAUACCGGUGGCGAAGGCGGCUCUCUGGACGGUGACUGACGCUGAGACGCUAAAGCGUGGGGAGCAAACAGU
rnacentral:rRNA from 1 species